rnacentral:rRNA from 1 species
AACAUCUAAGUACCCCGAGGAAAAGAAAUCAACCGAGAUUCCCCCAGUAGCGGCGAGCGAACGGGGAGGAGCCCAGAGCCUGAAUCAGCAUGUGUGUUAGUGGAAGCGUCUGGAAAGGCGCGCGAUACAGGGUGACAGCCCCGUACACAAAAGCGCAUGUGCUGUGAGCUCGAUGAGUAGGGCGGGACACGUGGUAUCCUGUCUGAAUAUGGGGGGACCAUCCUCCAAGGCUAAAUACUCCUGACUGACCGAUAGUGAACCAGUACCGUGAGGGAAAGGCGAAAAGAACCCCGGCGAGGGGAGUGAAAAAGAACCUGAAACCGUGUACGUACAAGCAGUGGGAGCACCCUUUUGGGUGUGACUGCGUACCUUUUGUAUAAUGGGUCAGCGACUUAUAUUCUGUAGCAAGGUUAACCGAAUAGGGGAGCCGGAGGGAAACCGAGUCUUAAUUGGGCGUUAAGUUGCAGGGUAUAGACCCGAAACCCGGUGAUCUAGCCAUGGGCAGGUUGAAGGUUGGGUAACACUAACUGGAGGACCGAACCGACUAAUGUUGAAAAAUUAGCGGAUGACCUGUGGCUGGGGGUGAAAGGCCAAUCAAACCGGGAGAUAGCUGGUUCUCCCCGAAAGCUAUUUAGGUAGCGCCUCGUGAAUUCAUCUCCGGGGGUAGAGCACUGUUUCGGCUAGGGGGCCAUCCCGGCUUACCAACCCGAUGCAAACUGCGAAUACCGGAGAAUGUUAUCACGGGAGACACACGGCGGGUGCUAACGUCCGUCGUGAAGAGGGAAACAACCCAGACCGCCAGCUAAGGUCCCAAAGUCAUGGUUAAG